rnacentral:rRNA from 1 species
AGAGUUUGAUCAUGGCUCAGAUUGAACGCUGGCGGCAGGCCUAACACAUGCAAGUCGAGCGGAUGAGAAGAGCUUGCUCUUCGAUUCAGCGGCGGACGGGUGAGUAAUGCCUAGGAAUCUGCCUGGUAGUGGGGGACAACGUUUCGAAAGGAACGCUAAUACCGCAUACGUCCUACGGGAGAAAGCAGGGGACCUUCAGGCCUUGCGCUAUCAGAUGAGCCUAGGUCGGAUUAGCUAGUUGGUGAGGUAAUGGCUCACCAAGGCGACGAUCCGUAACUGGUCUGAGAGGAUGAUCAGUCACACUGGAACUGAGACACGGUCCAGACUCCUACGGGAGGCAGCAGUGGGGAAUAUUGGACAAUGGGCGAAAGCCUGAUCCAGCCAUGCCGCGUGUGUGAAGAAGGUCUUCGGAUUGUAAAGCACUUUAAGUUGGGAGGAAGGGCAGUAAGAUAAUACCUUGCUGUUUUGACGUUACCGACAGAAUAAGCACCGGCUAACUCUGUGCCAGCCGCCGCGGUAAUAC